AGGACGGGCCGAGGGAUCGCCGCCGGGAGUCCGCCGGAUUCGCCGCGCGGAGGAAAGUCCGAGCUCCACAGGGCAGGAUGCCGGGUAACGCCCGGGCACCGCGAGGUGACGGAAAGUGCCGCAGAGAGCAGACCGCCGAUGGCCCCGGAAGCGGGGCACAGGCAAGGGUGAAAGGGUGCGGUAAGAGCGCACCGGGCCGCUGGCAACAGGGGUCGCAUGGCAAACCCCAUCCGGAGCAAGGCCGAAUAGGGGACGAGGGACGGCCCGUCCCGACCGAGUCCCGGGUAGGCCGCUCGAGGCCCGGAGUGAUCCGGGUCCCAGAAAGAUGAUCCCGCCCGCCUCCCGAGGCGGGACACAGAACUCGGCUUAUGACGCCCGUCCUCCUG
rnacentral:RNase_P_RNA from 1 species